GAUCCUUACGUUGCAAAAAACGAAGGAUGACUCGGUCGGGUCUUUCCCCUAUCAGGUUUCGUAGGGAGUGUAUUGUACUCUCUAGCCUUUGACGGGUAACAGAGAAUUAGGGUUCGAUUCUGGAGAAGGAGCCUGAGAGACGGCUACUACAUCUAAGGAAGGCAGCAGGCGCGCAAAUUUCCCAAUGCUCAUCGAGCGAGGAAGUGACGAUCAAUAAUAAUGUGCGGGGUUUAACCCUGUGCAAUUACAAUGAGUAAAAUGUACAAGCGUUUUCCAUGAUCAAUUGGAGGGCAAGUCUGGUGCCAGCAGCCGCGGUAAUUCCAGCUCCAAUAGGAUAUAUCAAAGUUGUUGCAGUUGAAAAGCUCGUAGUCGUAUUUCUGGCGGGUUGAUGUGGCGACAUUGGCGAACGAAAGUUUGUCUUGCUUGCUACCGCCCACCAUUUUGUGGACCCAUGGGAGCAGUUAGGGGGUUUAGUCACUCGCUGUUUCCACCACUCCGUCACUGAGAGCAAAUUGGAGUGCUCAAAGCAGGCUUUACAGCUUUGAACAUUUUAGCUUGGAAUGACAAAGAAGGACUUUCCGUUCACUUUGUUGGUUAUGAAUAGAGAGUAAUGAUAAAUAGGAACAGUUGCGGGGGUACUCGUACUGGAAAGUCAGAGGUGAAAUUCUUGGAUUUUUCCACGACGAACGACUGCGAAAGCAUUUACCAAGGAUGUUUUCAUUGAUCAAGAACGAAAGUGCGAGGAUCGAAGAUGAUUAGAUACCAUCGUAGUUCGCACAGUAAACGAUGCCGACUCGGGAUUGAGUUCUCUUCGUUUUCAAGAAGGAUCUCAGCACCGUAUGAGAAAUCAAAGUCUUUGGGUUCCGGGGGGAGUAUGGUCGCAAGGUUGAAACUUAAAGGAAUUGACGGAAGGGCACACCAGAGGUGGAGCCUGCGGUUUAAUUUGACGCAACACGGGGAAACUCACCAGGUCCAGACAUGAGAAGGAUUGACAGUUUGAAAGCACUUUCUUGAUUUCAUGGGUGGUGGUGCAUGGCCGUUCUUAGUUGGUGGAGUGAUUUGUCUGGUUGAUUCCGAUAACGAACGAGACUCUCGGAGUAAACUGGUUCGCGCAGUAAUUCACGUUACUGCCAACCUCUUUUCUCGACAAUUCGUUUAAAACGAAAGGAAGCGGAGAGCAAUAACAGGUCUGUGAUGCCCCUCGAUGUUCUGGGCUACACGCGCGCUACAAUGACGAAUUCAACGAGUUUAUUUUCCUUGCCCGGAAGGGUGUGGGUAAUCUUUUCAAUGUUCGUCGUGAUGGGGCUAGAUUUUUGCAAUUAUUAAUCUUCAACGAGGAAUCUCUAGUAGGCGCAGUUCAUCAGACUGCACCGAAUGCGUCCCUGCCCUUUGUACACACCGCCCGUCGCACCUACCGAUUGGACGAUCCGGCAAGAUGUUUGGAGUUGCGUUUGUUCGGCUUUCGGGCCAGACUGAUGCGACAAAGCUCCUCAAACCUUAUCGUCUAGAGGAAGGUGAAGUCGUAACAAGGUU
rnacentral:rRNA from 1 species